GGUCCUAAGAAAGAUAUUGGAUCUAUUAGUGUAAGGCCUGUGGAGGAUAAUAUGGGUAAUGGUUGCUGUGAAGGUGGUGAUGUACUGGGCUUAGCUAUAAAUGAAGGAGUAGUAGAACAUAAAAGUAAAGUAAAGGUGAAGAAAACAAAAAUUGGCUCCAAGAGAGAGAGAAAUAGGGGUGAUGCUCCAGUUUAUGAUACUUUGGAAACUUUGGGAUCUCAGAUAGAAGAUCAAAAGGAGGAAGGUUCAUUGCCUAGUGGUUCAAGUCGUUCUUUGGAUCAAAAGGAGGAUGACUCAUUAUCAUGUAUUUUUCUGAAGGCACAAUCUGGUCCAAGUCCAACACAGAAGUCUCACAUGAGUUCAUGUUCAAAACAGAAUAGUAGGGUUCAGAAUUUGGAGGAUGGGUUGAGCCCUACCUCUGAAUGUAUUUCAGAAUUUUCCAAGUCUGUGGUUGCAAGGAUGUCUAGAACUGCUUCUGCCUCAAAUG
rnacentral:misc_RNA from 1 species